rnacentral:rRNA from 1 species
CGGCGGACGGGUGAGGAACGCGUGGGUAACCUGCCCUAUACAGGGGGAUAACGUGUAGAAAUGCACGCUAAAACCGCAUAAGCUACAUUGGUCGCAUGACGAAGGUGGAAAAACUGAGGUGGUAUAGGAUGGGCCCGCGUCUGAUUAGCUAGUUGGAGAGGUAAAGGCUCACCAAGGCGACGAUCAGUAGCCGGUCUGAGAGGAUGGACGGCCACAUUGGGACUGAGACACGGCCCAA